rnacentral:rRNA from 1 species
AGGAUGAACGCUGGCGGCGUGCUUAACACAUGCAAGUCGAACGAUGAAGGCUGGAGCUUGCUCUGGCUGGAUUAGUGGCGAACGGGUGAGUAACACGUGAGUAACCUGCCCCAGACUCUGGGAUAAGCGCUGGAAACGGCGUCUAAUACCGGAUACGAGCUUCCACCGCAUGGUGAGGAGCUGGAAAGAAUUUCGGUCUGGGAUGGACUCGCGGCCUAUCAGCUUGUUGGUGAGGUAAUGGCUCACCAAGGCGACGACGGGUAGCCGGCCUGAGAGGGUGACCGGCCACACUGGGACUGAGACACGGCCCAGACUCCUACGGGAGGCAGCAGUGGGGAAUAUUGCACAAUGGGCGCAAGCCUGAUGCAGCAACGCCGCGUGAGGGACGAAGGCCUCGGGUGU